UUCUUUUCUAUUUCAAGUAGAAAAAAAAAACAUAUUUAUGUAUGUUAGACGCAUGUCUUCUUAAAAUGUUAGACAGAUUUUAUUAGCCAUGCUGAUCUUUGGCCGGGAGGAGGGUUGAUAGGGUAUACGUACAUGACACAGCCCAGUGCCCAGACUUCUGCUUCCGUUCCAUGGCCCUCUCGUUUCCACACUUCUGGAGCCAUGUAACAUGGAGUACCACACACUUUUCUACAACACACACAAAUGGAAAACGUUAAGCGCACAUGUGCUUUAGCUUGCUGUAUAAACAAAUUUGAAAGCUUAGCCAGGAAUUCUGCAAAAAACACCUACUUGUCCCUCGGCUCCAGCUUGACCGCCAGUCCAAAAUCCCCGAUUUUCAGUUUCAUUUUGUCACUGACAAAUAAGUUUUCUGAAAGACAAACAAAUUUGCAUUAAGGAUAGACUCAAAUACUUUGCCAAACUGCAGACUUUACCAAAUUGAUAAAUGAACACUACACAGAAAUCCAGACGAGCUACACUCGCAAUGCCAUGUGAAAUGCCAGCAUUAUUAAACAGAGAAUUGAGUAAAGCGUGAGUGCAUGUACACAUAUCGAACUAGAUUUCCCUAUGGACAUAACAUUGCCGGUAGAUGUGUUUUAUCCCCGAUAUCAGCUGUUGAAUGUAAUAGCGGACUUCGGGGUCAAUCAGAGUCCCGCGAGCUUUCAGGAUGUCACCAAGUGUCUGGGCAGGGAGAAACAGGGGCAGCCUGAUCCAUCACAAAGUCUUUGCCUUAGUAAGACGUCUAUAAAAGUCAGGGACUCACCUGCCUACUGCACAACUCCAUGAAAAUAUACAUGAACAGAUCGUCUUCAAAAGAAUGGGAGAAGCCCACAACGUUCUUGUGCCGUGGUUUUUUUCAAAAUUUCCACUUCUUGACACACCUGAGUGAAAUAUCAAACACACCAUCUCAUCAAGUACUGUAACAGGGAAAUGCAGAUAAACUGCAAAGAGGGAUGACAUUAAGCACAAUCCAUACCACAUACCUCCUCCAGUCCCCAGGAAUGUGGAGGUAUGACCAUCACAGCAAAGGUGUCACCACUUUCAAGGUCGGUCAUCUUGUAGCACUUGCCACAAGCACCCUAAAGAACAUGUCAAUAAAGGGCAUUUCUGACUGACCCUGUUCAAGCAUCUCCUCUCCGCAGAAAAAGAUCAACUGUAAUCACUUUCAACAACAACUUUGUGGUGCACACCUGUCCCAAAAGCGGCCAAGACAGCUGGGCAAUUUGAACUUGCUAGAUGGAUUACAUCACCACAUUGAAAAUUCCAUGGAUGGAAAAAGAGGUGAACUUGCUAAGACAUUGCAACAAAACACGGAUAAAAACUUUCAUUACAAUCAACUUCAUUGAAGAAAAAAAACCCGUCUCCGUUUUGUACACCAAACAUUCAGUUUCGGUAAUGCAGUAACACAUGCUCAGGAAUAAAGACUUUUAUGUAGUGUGCAGUGACUAUCACAUCAUAUGUUACUGCGGCUCUUUAGGCACUCAGCUAUCGGUCUCACUUUGUCAUACAGAACAGGGAUUCAUUUCCUGGUGAAAAACUUCCUAUGUGGUAUGUGAUACCUCAGCUCCAAGAUGUGGAGCAGUUAUCUAUUACACCGUAAGGCUGGAUAUUUUUACAAAUAAAGGCAGCAAUGGUGUCGGUUAUUGCCUUAGAACGAGCGGUUAGCUGGCAGGGUGUGAAAAUUAGGGCGUUUAUUUUUUUUAAAGAGUUUUGUGUUAUUUGAAAGCAUUGUGAAAUGUAAAAAAAAAAACAGUAAUGAUAUGAUGAAAAUGGGAAUACUGACGUUGACAAUGCCAAUAUAAUAUUUUGGUAUGUUAAGGCAUGUUUGUUCUCUGCUUUAAAGAAAGGGGGAUGUGUUGAUAUGUAGUGCAGUACCUUUGGUGACCAGCAGAGAGACCUGGAGGGUUGGGAGGAGGUAAAGACAAGGGGUAGGGAGACCGACGGCACAGAGCAGGUUGUGGGUUUGCAUGGAAGAUGUUGGUGGUUAAAUAAAAGUUCAUUGUUCAUGAAACAAGGUCUCUUCAAUGACAUAUGAACAACACAAUGUAUCUCUUCCUUCUCAUGAUAAUCUGACUCGCCAAACAUGCCUCCAGCUCGCGCGACGUGGCCGAGGGACUUGAGGAGAAUUAUACACUGACAGCAGUGGAGAUGAGAGCGCACUUGAAAUUAUCAGGUAAGAGAGGGUUAAUCGAGCAAAAUGUACAAUUAUUGGUCAGAAAAUGUCGGUCAAAUUUCUAAAUAAUUAUGGCGUACGAAUAAUGAUAUAUCCGUAAAUCGUAUUUUACCGAUUUAAAGAUGUUCAUUAUUCAUUGUAUUGUCACGCCCCCCUCGGGAGAAUGCAGCGGCAGCAGCCACACCUGAGUUACGUCAACUCCCUGUUUAGUUCUGCUUGGCGCUGCAUUAUAUGCAAGGUACUGUUGAGGGUUUUCAUAAGAAGUACAGGGCGGUCUUCCUCCUGUCUACCCCGAUCCGGUCCAUCUGCCUGCUUUGCUGCCAUCCCAUCCCAUCCCAUCCUGAUCCACCCGGACCUCUCCCUUGUACUUGUCCUGCGUCUCGCAUGCCACCUGUAGAACUGGCUUUUGGACUCGAUUGUACUUGCUGAUUCCAGUCCUGUUUGCGUGUUCCCAACAAUAAACCCCGUACAGUACGUUGCCUUCUGUGUCUCUACUAUCCUCCGGGGUUGCAUGUUGUGCAAUACUGUAGUAGCUUGGAUUCAACCAUUAGAUGGCAGUAGUAGCAUAUAGUUGGAGGGAAGUAGAAGAAGGCAAGAGAGGGAAGUUGAGUGUUUGUGCGUUGUUCCCGGAGCUGAUAAGUUAAUAAAUAUUGAACCUCUUGCCAUCCCCAAAUGUGUCUCGGCUGACUCUCAAUAUAUCAAAAGUACAUACCGUCUAUUUAUUUAUGUCUGCCCUUCAAACCGCUAGAUUCCUUCACUAAGCAGGAAGUUUGUCACGACAGCUGACACCAAAUCUCCUGCUGAGCUGGUUCAGACAGAACUAUCCUCAAUUCACCACGAGGGGGCGCCAACGCAGCAGCUUAGUUCUAUUGUUUCGCUUUUUCAAAGACAGUUUUUCUCUUCACAAAAGGACAACUUAACUGAAUAAUGCACUUUCAUAGUAAUUGUUUUUAAUCCGUGUUAAUGUUCUGAACAAUGACUACUAAAGGUUCUGUAAGGUUGUCCCACAUACUAUGGAUUUUAAGUUUUUUAUCAAGGUGUUAAAACGUACCAUCUAUUUUCUGCUGAAAGUUGCCAGUCCUGUGUUUUAUGUCUAGCAAUUUGUACAGUUUCUUCAGUAUGGCACAUAAACACAUGCCAUCAUCUACAGUAUGAGAAUCUCCUCCAGAACUCUGCAUUUCCUCAAGAUUUUUUUGUAAUAUUACAUAGGUGCAUCUCAUGAACCUUAAUUUGCCAAGCAUGUAUUGACUGGGCACAGUACAGUGGUGCAAUUUCUGAUAAUGAAAGAACAUCAUGGACCCCUACUCCCCAUUCCUUAACCCGAUCGAGGGGCUCUGCUCAGCAUGGAGUUAGAAGGCUUACGAUCGCUAGCCACAUGCUCAGAUGGCCCUGCUGGCUGACAUGAAUGCAGCAUGUGAGGACAUUACAGCAGAUGCCUGCAGAGGCAGGUAAGACAUUAGAAAAGAUUCCUUUUUUUCUUAUAUUUUAUUCUUUCUGUUUUUUCUUAUGUACAAAUACAUAAGUGCACAUUAGGAUGCUUUUUCACUAUUACGUAAGUUCCCAUGUGAACAGCCAAUCAGAUCAGCCUGAUGUGUGUCUUGUUCCUCUCUGUUUCCUGCCCUUUCAUCCCGACCACGACCAUGAUCUCUCACUUAGCAGCAGAGCAGUUUAUUCUAAACAGUGGAACCGCAAAGAUGUUCAGACUCUUUGGUCUUCUCAUUUUCAUUAGUAGGGUUCUAUACUAUUAAAUCAUAUUUUGGGGGGAUUUUUAUAUAUCCUGUACGAUGUGAUUAGUGUAAUAAGUAUUUGGCCAUUUAAUCUUCAUCAUAUGUAAUAGGUAUUCUGAUUAUUAUUAUGAUAUUUAUUUAUUUGUUUGUUUGUUUGUUUGUUUAUUCAUUUGUGUUUCUCUCUUUUUCCAGACACUUCACUGGCUGUGGAUGUUGUUCAGCCCAGCUACCUGAUGAGGGUCCAGCAUGGAGACAGUGUGACCCUGACAUGCUUCCGUCCAGAAGAUAUUUCUUUUGCAGUUUGGUUUUAGCAAGCUGCUGGUCAGAAGCCCCAGCUCAUCGCGAAAGCACUUCUCUACGUACCUGGCGGAACCCACCGAAUAGCCCGUCUCGAUCACGCCCACAUGGGCGGGACCAGCCAGGUGCUCCGUAGAACGCUUAAUGACGGAAUGGAUUUAAGCACUGAGCUCCAUCGGGACAUUGCGAAGUAUUGAGCCAUGCUAUUGAGCCAUACCGAGCAAUCUAUUGUCUAUCGUCUACCCGUUGCUUCCUACCUGUUCCGUCCGCCCAGUGUACUUACCUUGUCUGUUCCUCUUCCUCUUCCCAGACCCGUUCCCGAACCUGAACCUCUUGCCCCGCUGAGACCGGCUUCUCCUGGUACUCUUUCCCUGUGUUGUCGUGUCCCGUGUUUGUUCCUCUUUCGGCUUCGGACACAUGCUUCUGCCCCUCGACCAUUCUCCUCGCUUAGCCCCUUUCAUUGCUACGUACUAGUGCUGCCAAUAAAACUUCUGGCUGCGUGCAAAUCUAGAUCUCCGUUCCACUUCUUGGGCCAGUGUUACAGUUAUAAUAUAAUCUUUGUUAUCAUAUAAUGUUAUCAAUGUAUAUUAAAGCUGUUAAGGUAUGUUAGGAUAUUAAGGUAUACGAAUUACAUGGUGAUUAUGAAUGUUAUAUGAAUGCAUUGUAAAUGUAUAAUGUAGGUGCAGUUAAUGUAAAGUGUUACUGAAUAUAUACUAAUAAAUAGUUAUACAACAAAAAGAGACAAGAAUGUCAACUAUUCUCCAAGAAGUUACUUAUUUUAUGGAUGGAUAGAACAACAUGACAUCCAUUCCAAAAUAUUUCUAAAAUCGGCAAGAAAUAUUUUUCAGGAUCUGUGUUUUCCAUUGUGACUCUCAAAGCGCUGUCAUCAUCAACAUUUUGCUUUUCAGGUAAAGACUCCAACAGCAAGACUGUGGUACAGCAGCCUGUGUCUGACACUGUGUCUGACACAGACUCUGUGAGUCUGCAGUGUACGAUAGAGACAGGGAGCUGUGCAGGAGAACACAGUGUUUACUGGUUCAGACAUUGUUAGAGUGUAUCUGUGUAUUUUAUCAUAUUAUUAUCCUCCUAUAUGUGUACGUGCAACCCUUAACAACUAACCCAUGGCCCAGAAAGGGUUGCAGACAAGAUGUCCUCACAGGGGCCUACCAGAUUGUGACGCAGGAAUAAGAGACCUUGAGAAAGGAAACAGAUUCUGUCAACAUAGCAGGGGGCCCACCUUGAGAUAUGUAAUGCUUUGUAUUAACCCUGUUUCACGGAGGCCUCACACAGCAUUGACUAGUUUAAAGACAAGACCCAUGUAACCCCUCCCCUACCCUAUAAAUAAAGAAGCCAAGGGACUGUCCGGUGUGACACUCAACAGAGGCGCAGAUACUGUCUGUUGCACCUGAAGUGGGCACCCUUGCGCAAGUAAAACAGAAA